UACGGGGGGAGCAAGCGUUGUUCGGAUUUACUGGGCGUAAAGGGCUCGUAGGUGGCCAACUAAGUCGGACGUGAAAUCCCUCAGCUUAACUGGGGAACUGCGUCCGAUACUGGAUGGCUUGAGUUUGGGAGAGGGAUGCGGAAUUCCAGGUGUAGCGGUGAAAUGCGUAGAUAUUGGGAGGAACACCAGUGGCGAAGGCGGCUCACUGGACUGGUACUGACGCUGAGGAGCGAAAGCGUGGGGAGCGAACAGG
rnacentral:rRNA from 1 species